rnacentral:sRNA from 1 species
UCUUCUUUUUUCAUGUCUUCGUUCCUGCUUUCUCAUUCACCGUUGUUAACCUAUGGUUGUUGAUUGUUAAGUUGGUAAUUGCGUUGACCGUUGACCGCCAUGUUUUAUUUAUAACGAUGCAGGACAAUAGUGAGGAGCCAGCAUCAAGCAUUCAGCGGGUAACAUCACACAAGAAGCAACAAGGAAUAUACACAAUAAUAUAUAGUGUCAGGAAGUUUAUUAUGGGUAUCUUUUCUUCGUGUACUUGGUGUCCAGAAAGCCACAAAGACAUGAACGACAGGGUAUAAAUGGACAAACAAGACGAUGAUAAUGAUGAUAACGACCGAUUGUCGAGCGAUCCGCG